rnacentral:rRNA from 1 species
UACGUAGGGAGCGAGCGUUGUCCGGAAUUACUGGGUGUAAAGGGAGCGUAGGCGGGGAUGCAAGUUGGGUGUCAAAACUACCGGCUCAACUGGUAGUCGCACUCAAAACUGCAGCUCUUGAGUGAAGUAGAGGCAGGCGGAAUUCCUAGUGUAGCGGUGAAAUGCGUAGAUAUUAGGAGGAACACCAGUGGCGAAGGCGGCCUGCUGGGCUUUUACUGACGCUGAGGCUCGAAAGUGAGGGGAGCAAACAGG